AGGCUAUUAGCUCAAACGGUAGAGCAAUGUACAUGCAAUAUUGUACAUGGUGUGGGUUCAAGCCCCACAUAACCUA
rnacentral:tRNA from 1 species